rnacentral:rRNA from 1 species
UACGAAGGGGGCUAGCGUUGCUCGGAAUCACUGGGCGUAAAGCGCACGUAGGCGGCUUGUUAAGUCAGGGGUGAAAUCCUGGAGCUCAACUCCAGAACUGCCUUUGAUACUGGCAAGCUUGGAGUCCGGGAGAGGUGAGUGGAACUGCGAGUGUAGAGGUGAAAUUCGUAGAUAUUCGCAAGAACACCAGUGGCGAAGGCGGCUCACUGGACCGACAUUGACGCUGAGGCGCGAAAGCGUGGGGAGCAAACAGG